UACGAAGGGGGCUAGCGUUGCUCGGAAUUCCUGGGCGUAAAGGGCGCGUAGGCGGACAGUUUAGUCAGAGGUGAAAGCCCAGGGCUCAACCUUGGAAUUGCCUUUGAUACUGGCUGUCUUGAGUUCGGGAGAGGUGAGUGGAAUGCCGAGUGUAGAGGUGAAAUUCGUAGAUAUUCGGCGGAACACCAGUGGCGAAGGCGACUCACUGGCCCGAUACUGACGCUGAGGCGCGAAAGCGUGGGGAGCAAACAGG
rnacentral:rRNA from 1 species